GAUGAACCCUUUCUGCAGGCUUAACACAUGCAAGUCGAGGGGCAUCAGGAACAUAGCUUGCUUUCUUUGCUGGCGACCGGCGCACGGGUGAGUAACACGUAUCCAACCUGCCCUUUACUCGGGGAUAGCCUUUCGAAAGAAAGAUUAAUACCCGAUAGCAUAAUGAUUCCGCAUGGUUUCAUUAUUAAAGGAUUCCGGUAAAGGAUGGGGAUGCGUUCCAUUAGGUUGUUGGUGGGGUAACGGCCCACCAAGCCUUCGAUGGAUAGGGGUUCUGAGAGGAAGGUCCCCCACAUUGGAACUGAGACACGGUCCAAACUCCUACGGGAGGCAGCAGUGAGGAAUAUUGGUCAAUGGGCGCUAGCCUGAACCAGCCAAGUAGCGUGAAGGAUGAAGGCUCUAUGGGUCGUAAACUUCUUUUAUAUAAGAAUAAAGUGCAGUAUGUAUACUGUUUUGUAUGUAUUAUAUGAAUAAGGAUCGGCUAACUCCGUGCCAGCAGCCGCGGUAAUACGGAGGAUCCGAGCGUUAUCCGGAUUUAUUGGGUUUAAAGGGAGCGUAGGUGGACUGGUAAGUCAGUUGUGAAAGUUUGCGGCUCAACCGUAAAAUUGCAGCUGAUACUGUCAGUCUUGAGUACAGUAGAGGUGGGCGGAAUUCGUGGUGUAGCGGUGAAAUGCUUAGAUAUCACGAAGAACUCCGAUUGCGAAGGCAGCUCACUGGACUGCAACUGACACUGAUGCUCGAAAGUGUGGGUAUCAAACAGGAUUAGAUACCCUGGUAGUCCACACAGUAAACGAUGAAUACUCGCUGUUUGCGAUAUACAGUAAGCGGCCAAGCGAAAGCAUUAAGUAUUCCACCUGGGGAGUACGCCGGCAACGGUGAAACUCAAAGGAAUUGACGGGGGCCCGCACAAGCGGAGGAACAUGUGGUUUAAUUCGAUGAUACGCGAGGAACCUUACCCGGGCUUAAAUUGCAGUGGAAUGAUGUGGAAACAUGUCAGUGAGCAAUCACCGCUGUGAAGGUGCUGCAUGGUUGUCGUCAGCUCGUGCCGUGAGGUGUCGGCUUAAGUGCCAUAACGAGCGCAACCCUUAUCUUUAGUUACUAACAGGUCAUGCUGAGGACUCUAGAGAGACUGCCGUCGUAAGAUGUGAGGAAGGUGGGGAUGACGUCAAAUCAGCACGGCCCUUACGUCCGGGGCUACACACGUGUUACAAUGGGGGGUACAGAAGGCAGCUAGCGGGUGACCGUAUGCUAAUCCCAAAAGCCUCUCUCAGUUCGGAUCGAAGUCUGCAACCCGACUUCGUGAAGCUGGAUUCGCUAGUAAUCGCGCAUCAGCCACGGCGCGGUGAAUACGUUCCCGGGCCUUGUACACACCGCCCGUCAAGCCAUGGGAGCCGGGGGUACCUGAAGUACGUAACCGCAAGGAUCGUCCUAGGGUAAAACUGGUGACUGGGGCU
rnacentral:rRNA from 1 species